GAUGAAUGCUGGCGGCGUGCCUAAUACAUGCAAGUCGAGCGAACAGACGAGGAGCUUGCUCCUCUGACGUUAGCGGCGGACGGGUGAGUAACACGUGGAUAACCUACCUAUAAGACUGGGAUAACUUCGGGAAACCGGAGCUAAUACCGGAUAAUAUAUUGAACCGCAUGGUUCAAUAGUGAAAGACGGUUUUGCUGUCACUUAUAGAUGGAUCCGCGCCGCAUUAGCUAGUUGUUAAGGUAACGGCUUACCAAGGCAACGAUGCGUAGCCGACCUGAGAGGGUGAUCGGCCACACUGGAACUGAGACACGGUCCAGACUCCUACGGGAGGCAGCAGUAGGGAAUCUUCCGCAAUGGGCGAAAGCCUGACGGAGCAACGCCGCGUGAGUGAUGAAGGUCUUCGGAUCGUAAAACUCUGUUAUUAGGGAAGAACAAAUGUGUAAGUAACUAUGCACGUCUUGACGGUACCUAAUCAGAAAGCCACGGCUAACUACGUG
rnacentral:rRNA from 1 species